UUGUUGGCCUAUUCUCCAUUGCCUCAGUAGCUGGUGUUGUAUCCACAACAACUGCUUCAUGUGUAUUUUCAACAUCUACAUGAUCGUGGUCACUAUUUUCUUUCUCUUCGGUGACAAUAUCUAUUCCGCUAUUUCCAUAGAGAGGAACUUCACAUGUACUCCCCCUGUCCUCUUCAACUUCGACAAUAUGCCAGUCAUCAUCAGAUGACAUCAGUCCUUCAUGUUCAAUCGUACGAACUACACCCUCUUUAGCCAUUGGAAACACAUCCUCCUCGAAAACUACAUCUCUUGAGACAAAAAAAACUCAUUCUUAUCUAUGUCAUACACUCUCCAUCCUUUCUUUGCAAAAGGAUAACCAA
rnacentral:lncRNA from 1 species